UAGAACAUCAUUAAGCAUGACCACUUUUUUUGGGUUACAACCACAGCCGCGAGAAAGAUUUUAAAGGUCUAAGAGCAUUUUCAACACACUUCUAUUUCUACUUCUAUAAUAGUAUUUAUAAGCAAAAUCACUUCGACAUAUUUCUAUUUUUACUUCUAAAAUAGAAAUUACUAUUUUUUUUUCUAUAUAUAGAGAAAAAAAUAGUAUUCUUUUAUAUUUUGUUCUAUAUGAAGAGAUUAGAAAAAUUCAUUGGAAUAAAACUCAUCUCUAUUAUAGAGUUUCUCUAUUCUAUAAAUAAAAAUGGAGGAAUACAUUAAAAAUAGUCUAAAACAAGUUUUAAAAAUAAAUUUAUUUUUAACUAUAUUGAAAAUAAUUUUCUGAUACAAUAUAUCAUCUUCAUCAAAUAUACAAAUUUGAAACUAUACAAGAAUAAAUUUUCAAGUAAAUAUGCUAAAAUUAUAUCAUCUAAGAAAAAAAUAGUUGAUUUCAUAUGAUCAGAUAGUGUAAUUCUCGUAGAAACGGUUUUUCAAAAUAAAUCUAAACCAAUAAAUUAGAAAUUAUUUUAAAUUAGACUCCAAAUAAAAUUAUAUUAAUUACGGGUUUGAACCAAAUGUCUUUUUUAAUACACUGUAAGUACGCUUCUCGUUACAACAUUGCAUCUAUAAUUUCAUUUGAUCUAAGAGUUUUCAUAUAAUAACACAUCAUUUCAAAUAGUAUGUCUACCUUAGUUUACCACUUUUAGAAAAACUGUAUGCAUAAACAAAGUUCUCUGUCAUAAUAAACUUGGGUGUUCCUCAAUAUUUUAGAUUUUCUGUUGUUUUCUUCAAUUAUUUUGUUAUAGUUAAUAAAUAAAUUAAAAGUGUUGCCUGUGACAAGGGGAAUUUAAGUUGAGCAAAUGAAACGUUUACAAGCUUCUAGCAACAACUUUUGGAGGUGGAGAAAAAGCCUGAAACAGCCGACCAGAGGAACUAGAAAAGUCUUUGUAUCUUUUUCUUUUAGAAGAACCUGGACCGAGUGAGACAACGUGAAUCUUGUGAAGAAAACGAAUAAAGUCUAUUAUUAGAGGCUACUACAGCUUGUAAAACCAGUUAACGACCAAGACCGACGGUUGCCUAGCUAUUUUAUCACAAAACAGCAUAAAACUCAGCAGUAUAAUUGAUACUCCCAAAUAACAAAUGAGGUGUUUGCAGACAACAUAUGUGGUUUCAAUUAUCAAACAAAAAUGUGGCAUGUAGAAAACUCUUUACCAAGAACCUUGUCACUUUACUAUUUUGUUAGAAUUGGAGAAAACCAGACGUAAACCAAGAUUACACAUCUAAUGAUCCCAUGAAAAUGGGAAAUAGUUGUUAAAGCGUAUAAUUUUAAUAGUUGGGCCAUUUCGAUAUUCC
rnacentral:lncRNA from 1 species